GACGAACGCUGGCGGCGUGCCUAACACAUGCAAGUCGAGCGGAGAUUGCAGCAAUGUAAUCUUAGCGGCGGACGGGUGAGUAACGCGUGGGUAACCUGCCUUAAACAGGGGGAUAACACAGGGAAACUUGUGCUAAUACCGCAUAACAUACCGAUACGGCAUCGUAUUGGUAUCAAAGGAGAAAUCCGGUAUAAGAUGGACCCGCGUCCGAUUAGCUAGUUGGUGGUGUAAUGGACCACCAAGGCGACGAUCGGUAGCCGAACUGAGAGGUUGAUCGGCCACAUUGGGACUGAGACACGGCCCAGACUCCUACGGGUGGCUG
rnacentral:rRNA from 1 species